rnacentral:rRNA from 1 species
GAUGAACGCUGGCGGCGUGCCUAAUACAUGCAAGUCGAGCGAACAGACGAGGAGCUUGCUUCUCUGACGUUAGCGGCGGACGGGUGAGUAACACGUGGAUAACCUACCUAUAAGACUGGGAUAACUUCGGGAAACCGGAGCUAAUACCGGAUAAUAUAUUGAACCGCAUGGUUCAAUAGUGAAAGACGGUUUUGCUGUCACUUAUAGAUGGAUCCGCGCCGCAUUAGCUAGUUGGUAAGGUAACGGCUUACCAAGGCAACGAUGCGUAGCCGACCUGAGAGGGUGAUCGGCCACACUGGAACUGAGACACGGUCCAGGCUCCUGCGGGAGGCAGCAGUAGGGAAUCUUCCGCAAUGGGCGAAAGCCUGACGGAGCAACGCCGCGUGAAUGAUGAAGGUCUUCGGAUCGUAAAACUCUGUUAUUAGGGAAGAACAAAUGUGUAAGUAACUAUGCACGUCUUGACGGUACCUAAUCAGAAAGCCACGGCUAACUACGUG